AGUGUCCGAAAGCCGCUCAUGUAAAUAGAACAAUCUCAGGUAAAAAUGCAACCGAACCAUUUCCACAAUGACCAUAAAUACGAGCAUAACUACAGUUGGGACAUUUAAAUCAGAACAGUCUGUUGAGCGACUCAGAGUUCUUUGCUGCUACCGGUCGUUCCCGGGACAACGUCUGAAGUCUGCUGCGGCGUACGCCAUGGUGUUGUUUUCCUGUCCUUCCUUCGUGCGGCAGGUGGAAUUGCCUUAGCAAGCUACUCCGAGGAUUUGUGUGUCUUUUUCUACAAAACAGAGGAAGAAGGAGAACGCGCAACAAGGAGAGAGAACGUGUACAGCAGUGUGGCCGGGGCAGGAGAUGUCCGGUUCCCAGAGGAUGCGUACUUGCUGUGUCAUGGCCGUAUUGGAGAACAGAGGAAGUUUGCUCCCUGCGUAGGAUGACAAGCAUCUUCGCAGUGUUCCCGUGGAGGUCAUGUCAAGUGCAGACACGCUCCCCGUGAAACAUUCCUUCCUGCGGGGCCUGGACCAUUCCGGCAGCAGACGCUCACCUGGGGAAGGAAUCUGGACACCGCCAGGUUCCAAGUCCUGAUGCCUUCACGCACACGGAGUCUGUACAAACGCUCUUGGUAGCCACACCUCCAUGUCAAAAGUUCAAGGUCCUUCCAGGAGGGAAGGCAUUCCUAGGUUUGGUCGGUCCUUAAACCUCCCCAUGCCGGACGUGUUUCAGGAGAGUGAGAAUGAGGAGCGGCAGAAAGGUUUGACCUCUCAGAACCUUCCCUUUGUGCGCCCUGAAUACCAAGCACCGCUCAGUCUCACGUCUACAAACAAGGGCUUCUGGAAUGCAGUCCGCCUGCCGGGAUGACUGUUCACAAGGUAUGUGAGAACUUGCACCUGCGAACGAGUACUUUCUUUGGAUGCGUGGAUUCCAACAACGUAAUCAUGGCUCCAAGCACUCUUGAAAGCUUUUUUGUUUAUUUUUUGAAUUGGUGUCAGAGCCACCUUAGGGGUCCUCUGCUGGGAAAGAUGGGCUGAUCGUCAUUGGAAAGAUUUGUUCCAGAGACUGUUGGAAAUAAGUAAGUCCCAGAGAAUUUCACAGGCAGUAUGUCAGAUGAGAGAACUAUUAUUUUCUGUGCUCUGCAAAUGAAGAAAAAGACACUCUAAGUGGUCAAACAUUCAAAUUGAAAUAUUCCAGUUUCUCCUUUUCUGUUAACAAAAUAUCAUCAAAUACAAUCGCUUUAUGGACAAAUUCAAAUACAGUCGCUUUGUGGACAAAUCCAUCUUGCUGUGAAGUUAGCUACAGCUCUCUUGUGCCAGGUUUGCCUGAAAACAUUAGGACUUCCACUGUUGGGAUCGUCAAACGACUAUGUCUCGUAAAUUUGGGUUUCUGUCUACAAAAACACGUUUUCCCCCAUCUUCCACCCAGUGUAGGAGGGGGCAGUGGAUCCUUCUCACCCUUGUCAUUCCUUAGUAGGAUGCACAGUCGGACCCAAGACACAGAACCCGGUCUUGGCCCGUGAAUAACUGCCUCGGAAGCAGGGCUGCCUCCCUGUCUCGUCACGUUCACACGUCUCUCCCGCUGGCUUUCAGAAGGCGCCGCGUGGUGUAGGUUAAAACAACUUGCGAACUCCCCAAACGGGAGGGAAAACGAAACCCAGAAAAGUGCAGGAUAAGAAGAUGCUCUGCAGAAGAAUUCCUUUCCCGAUAAUUACGACUGUUUAUUUUCCUCCGGGAAGUGCCUUUCAGUUUAAAAAUCAGUUUUUAAACUGUUGCUGGUUCUGUGAUGUGAAAGGGUUGGAAAGGUUGCGUCCCGCUUGAAGCUUGUAUCAUCCGACAGUUAUUGCAUUGAGGACUUGGAAUUCCGAACGGAACGUGCACGCCUAUAAUCUGUUUCCUCAUCAGAUGUCUGCUCUGGAAAUCUUUACUGUCAUAGUAUUUUUCCUAAUUCUGUGGUCUUCCGAGGAAGUUUUAAUACCAGCAAAUACCUUUCAGAUCAUUAACAUAAUUCCAAAAAUAGCAAUUGACAGUCUCAUUUGUGAUGGCAGAGGCAGGAGGUAAUGAGUCACAAAAAAGAAAAAAAGGAUUCAAUUUACUUGACACCAUAUGGAAUGAUCGAGUCAAUUUAAUUUUGUAUUAGUUUUCUUCAUGAAAUUCCAAAUUCGCAGUGCUUUUGAGACAUUAUUUUAUGUUCCAUUUUAAGUCAUACUUAAUUUCAGAGAGCUUUAAGGUUAAAUAGAAGCCGUAUUACCCUGUUUCCUCUUUUACUAUAAAACGGUAUUCUGUAAGAAAGACUUACAAAGAUAGGAAGUCCCUUGUUUUAUGUACAUUCCAAAAAAGGGACAUGGAAUAAUCUAUUUUAUAGCUCCUUCAAAGAGGUUAAGGGAAAGUCACAAAGAUUAAAAAAUAACUUUUAUCUUUGGGGCACCUGGGUGACGCAGUCCUUGAAGCAUUCGCCUUUGGCUCAGGUCGUGAUCCCAGGGUCCCGAGAUCAAGUCCCGGGUCAGGCUCCCUGCUCAGCGGGGAGCCUGCUUCUCCCUUUCCUACUUCCCCUGCUUGUGUUUCCUCUUUCACUGUCAAAGAAAUAAAUAAAAUCUUAAAAAAAGAGUCCCUUUUAUUUUUGGAUCAGUUGAUAUGCGAACAUUUGUUCACCUCGUGCUAGUUUCCAUUUGUAAAAGAGGAUUUCUUUUUAAAUUCUACUGAUGAGAGAAGGUAAGUUUCUUCUGACCUCUUUGUGUGCAAGGACAGUGGCACUUGACCCUUAAAGAAUGCAGAAGUUGUUGUUCGGAUCCCCUGUGCCGCUGAAAAUCUACAGAUAACUUUUGACUCUCUGAAAGCUUUCCUAAUAGCCUACGGUGGAUGGGAAUCUGACCCAUAACAUAAACAGCAGAUUAGUACAUUGUUUUUUUAGAGAUUUUAUUUAACUGAGAGAGACACGGUGAGAGAAGGAACACAAGCAGGGGGAGAGGGAGAAGCGGGGCUCCCGCCAAGCAGGGAGCCCCACUGUGGGACUCGAACCCAGGACCCUGGGAUCAUGACCUGAACGGAGGCAGAUGCUUAAUGACUGAGGCACGCAGGCGCCCCAGAUUAUUGCAUUUUUUUAAAUGAUAUAUGUAUAUUAUAUGCUGCAUUCUUAUAAUAAAGUAACCUAAAAACGGUAUGAUUAAGAAAUUCAUAAGGUAGAGGAAAUAUAUUUACAGCACUGUCUGAUAUUUAUCAAAAAAACCAACACACCAGUGCUCUAAAAUGACAGCAUUUUGAAUUACCAGGAAACCUAAACCCCAACAAAAAUCUGUGAUUUUAUUGUGGAAAAUUUGCAUUUUAAUAGAAUUUUCAUAGUCUGUCUUGACUGUAGAAACACUAGGUAUUUUAAAAUGAGUCAAUUUUUGCCUAACAAUUUUCUUGACCUGAAAAUAUAGUAAGACUUUAAAGACACACCCUAGGAAAGGGGAAUCCUAGUAACUUAACAGGCUUUCAUUUAUUUCCCAAAGAUAGAGAAAACAUAUACUUUGUGACAAUCUGUUCCUUCCAGCGAGAAAUACAAACUAAAUGAAAUACAAACAUUUAUAUGGCAAAA